UUUUUGUUUGUGCUUGCAACAUUUCUGAAGACCCAAAUACACCAAUAUUUUUUAAAUGAUGGUUAAAAGCAAAUAAAGAAUUUAUGACCAGAAAUCUAAUUGGUUGAUCUUACAUUGAGAACCAAAGGAGAAAUAUAAAAUGACGACUGCAUAAACAAUGAGGACGGUGAGAUAGAUACAGAAACAGAUCAAGUCCACUUUGUUGGCAAAGCGAUGGUGUAUAGCAUUUUUCUGGUCUUGUGCAGCCAUUUUGUUGAGAAACUUCACCACCUUCUGGAGGGCUGUAUUCUUCUCUUCCUCUGAGGCUUUAAUAUCAGACUUGGAUUCUAGACAAAGUAAAGGAGAGAAAAAAAGGAUAACCUAUUAUUAAUAUAACAUAAUUAAAUAAAGAUGUAAAAAUUUCUGUAAAAUGACAGUUUUCAGUGACAUGAAAGAUCAAAUGGAGUAGCUGUCCAGACCAGCGUAAACGCCAGACAAAUGAUGCUAACAAGGAAAGAUGCUGGGAAAGACUGCAUGCUUUAACUGCAGCUAAAGGGUAAGAAUUAAAAGGUUCAGAAUUAAAAUACAACCUGACUAGUUUAUGAUGAAAGUCCGUUAUGGGGUCCCCAGUAAAACUGGUUGCAGUAACGUCAUUAUGACUUCAUGGUCAGGUUAUAAAUGGUUGUAUAAGGACGUUUUGUUAAUGUCUUUGGAAACCAUGAAAAUAUAUCUUGCUCUGUGGAUAACUGAGGUGACGGAAGAAUGAAAAUGUUUACCCUCUUCAUUGUCUGUGUCUUUAAGCAGUGAGUCUUUGGACUUGGAGAGGCUGCAGGGCCAGAGAGUGCCACACUUAGCCAGGCGUGUGAGCACCAUAGACUGCAACGUGCUCAACACCAGGAUGACCAAACAGAAACAGAAGUGCUUUCCUAUGGAGAACAACGAGAGAGAGAGAUGUGACACUCACGGAUGAUGGGGCUGCACUGGCCUCCUCCAGGCAGUAGGUCGUUGAGGAUGAUGAGGAACAUGAUGAAGCUGAGAACCAGUGUAACCUUGAAUGAGAUACGCUCGCCCCCUCCCAGUGGCAGGGAGAAGCUCACCACAUCUGCCACAAUGAUCAGUAUACUGGGCAGGACCAGGGACAGAAAGGGGUUUUCAGACCGCAUCUUCAGCGACACCUGUGAAGACAGAUGGAUUUUCAAGUUAGAUGGGGAGCGGCGAUGAACAGCAAUCUAAGUUUUUUGUCAAUGAGAUUCAAGUCUGGGCCACUCAUGGACUUUCACAUUGUUGUUCUGAAGCCAUUCCAUCGUUGCUUUGGCUGCAAGUAUUCACCCCCAGUCUAACGUCGUUUGCACUCUGAAGCAGGUGCUCAUCAAGGAUGUAUUUGGCUCCAUUCAAUGUUCUCUCGAUCCUUACCAGUCCCUCAAUCCCUGCUGCUCAACAGGGUAGGGAUGGCAUUAGAGGGUGAUGAGCUGUGCCUGGUUCUCUCCAGACACAGUGGUUUGCAUUCAGGCCAAAGAGUUCCAUUUUUGUCUCAUCAGACCACAGAAUAUUUUUGCCUUAUGCUCAAGUCUUUCAUAUACCUUUUUGCAAACACCAGAUGUGCUGUCAUGCACCUUUUUCUCAGGAGUGGCUUCCGUCUGGCCACUCUCCUAUAAACCCCAGAUUGGUGAAGUGCUGUAGAGACCGUUGUCCUUCUGGCAGGUUCUCCCAUCUCAGCCAAGAAACUCUGUAGUUCUAUCAGAGUGGUCAUUGAGUUCUUGGUUACCUCCCUGACCAAGGUCCUUCUUGCCCGGUUUCUCAGUUUGAUUUGACAGCCAGCUCUAGGCAGAGUCUGGGUAGUUCCAUGUUUUUAUUGAUUUCACAAUGAUGUUGACCACUGUGCUCUUGGAAACUUUCAACACUCUAGAAAUUAUUUUAUACCCUUCCCCAGAUAUGCCUUAUCACAAUUCCCAGAGAUCUACAGACAGCUCCUAGGAUCUUAUGGUAUAAUUUCUGCUCUGACAUGCACUGUCAACUAUGGGACCUUACAUAUAUAUAUGCCAUUUAGCAGACGCUUUUAUCCAAAGCGACUUACAGUCA